UUAGGUAAUUAACAGAUGGUUAAGGACAGUUUAUCUCUGCAAUGACCUUUGAGGUAGACUGCCAUAGAAAUUCUGGGAAAUAAAAGGCAUAUUUGUGAGAUCAUGUAAUUAGCAACUUAAGUGUAUACUAUACUUAUAACACUUACUCAUUUAUUGGGCAGUUAGUCUGUGGCACAAAUAUAUGGCUUGGUGAUUCCCCAUCCUUCAUCCCAGCCUCAACCAAAUUUGUUAUGAAGCAGAAUGUGACCAGCAAACAUCAUUCAACAAUAUGUUCCUUCUUAUUUAGUUAGAGUCAGAGAUAUAUGUGAUCAAGAAGGACAUACUGUUUAAUCUUAUAGGCCUACUCUGUGAUUUUGGUUUUUAGUCUUGACUUUCAUAUUAUAAAGAAUGAAGACAUCAUUAUUGUCACUAUAGGAUAGUCAAGUGGCAGUUUACAGG